UUCUAAAGGAAGGACACGGAAGUUGGAUUAUUACAUAGAUUCAAAUACAGUUAGAUCUCCAUGGACCAGCUCAAUCAGGCUAAGUGACUUUUCCAAAGAUCUCAGCUCAAAUAGGGAUGCACCUGAGGAGAAUCUUAUCCUCAGAAUUGAAGUUCAUUAGAUCGUGCUCCUCCAAUUCUACCACCAUGUGCCUGCAAAUCUCAGAGGACCUUCAUCCACCAAAAAUCUGAUUCUCUCUAACGCCUCAUUUUUUGGAGUGGAGUCCAUGAACCAGCAGCUUGUGCAUCACUUGGGAGCAGUUAAUAUUUGUUAAAAAUGCAGAGUAGCAAGCCCUAUCCAGACCUGCUGAUUCAGGACUGCAAUUCAACAAGAGUCCCAAGGUGAUCCAUUGACACAAUGAAGUUUGAAAGUCCUGCCUUGGAAGUCAUUCAACCCCCCUCAUUUUCCAGGGAGGGAAACUGAACUUCAACCAAAUGACUUUCCAGUACAUCCCACAGCAGAAUCCAGUUUGGAUUCCAGGAUUCUGAUUCAGCAGUAUAACUUUUGGCACUAUCAUGAACCUCUGUGGGCCUUUGUUUCCAUAUCAGUAAAAUGAGGGUACUCACAA